AGCUAUUAAGAUCUCGAAAAAUUAUGAACUCAAUUAAGUACCAAUUUGAAAGGCUUGUUGGAAUUGAUUUCAACAAAUACGUUUGAUGCUUCUAUAGAUUGUGAGGACAUUUUCGGAAUUUACGAGUUACCAACUUUACCAGCAAAUACGGAUGGGCCCCACCUUGCUUCCUAUUUCAGCAAAGCCUGGCCUGUGCGACCAAACCAUACUA
rnacentral:lncRNA from 1 species